AUUGAACGCUGGCGGCAGGCCUAACACAUGCAAGUCGAACGAGUGGCGGACGGGUGAGUAAUGUCUGGGAAACUGCCUGAUGGAGGGGGAUAACUACUGGAAACGGUAGCUAAUACCGCAUACCAUCGGAUGUGCCCAGAUGGGAUUAGCUUGUAGGUGGGGUAACGGCUCACCUAGGCGACUAUCCCUAGCUGGUAUGAAGGGAUGACCAGCCACACUGAAACUGGGACACGGUCCAGUCUCCUACGAGAGGCAGCAGUGGGGAAUAAUGCACAAUGGGCGCAAGCCUAAUGCAGCCAUGCCGGGUGUAUGAAGAAGGCCUUCGGGUUGUAAAGUACUUUCAGCGGGGAGGCGUUACCCGCAGAAGAAGCACCGGCUAACUCCGUGCCAGCAGCCGCAGUAAUAC
rnacentral:rRNA from 1 species